rnacentral:rRNA from 1 species
CCAAGGAGUCUAGCGUGUGCGCGAGUCAUUGGGUGACAAAACCUAAAGGCGCAAUGAAAGUGUCUCAUUUUAGGGAGGAUGGGCGUCCCGGCCCCCAGAGCCGGUGCCCCGCACUCCCGGGGCGUCACGACCUCGUUUCGAGCCGAGACGCACCGAGAGCGCACACGCUGUUACCCGAAAGAUGGUGAACUAUGCUUGGCCAGGACGAAGCCAGGGGAAACCCUGGUGGAGGUCCGAAGCGAUUCUGACGUGCAAAUCGAUCGUCUGAGCUGAGUAUAGGGGCGAAAGACUAAUCGAACCAUCUAGUAGCUGGUUCCCUCUGAAGUUUCCCUCAGGAUAGCUGGCUCUCAAGAAGAGACGAGUCUCAUCCGGUAGAGCGAAUGAUUAGAGGUGAUGGGGUCGAAACGACUUCAACCUAUUCUCAAACUCCCAAUAGAUGAGAGCCCCGGCUUGCUUGAAAGUGAAGCCGCGGGACUACGGAUCGGAGAUGCCAAGUGGGCCAAUUUU